UACGAAGGGUGCAAGCGUUAAUCGGAAUUACUGGGCGUAAAGGGUGCGUAGGCGGUUCGUUAAGUCUGUCGUGAAAUCCCCGGGCUCAACCUGGGAAUGGCGAUGGAUACUGGCGAGCUAGAGUGUGCCAGAGGAUGGUGGAAUUCCCGGUGUAGCGGUGAAAUGCGUAGAGAUCGGGAGGAACAUCAGUGGCGAAGGCGGCCAUCUGGGACAACACUGACGCUGAAGCACGAAAGCGUGGAGAGCAAACAGG
rnacentral:rRNA from 1 species